CUUAGUGGCGAACGGGUGAGUAACGCGUGAGUAACCUGCCCUGGAGUGGGGGACAACAGUUGGAAACGACUGCUAAUACCGCAUAAGCCCACGGCCCGGCAUCGGGCUGAGGGAAAAGGAUUUAUUCGCUUCAGGAUGGACUCGCGUCCAAUUAGCUAGUUGGUGAGGUAACGGCCCACCAAGGCGACGAUUGGUAGCCGGACUGAGAGGUUGAACGGCCACAUUGGAACUGAGACACGGCCCAG
rnacentral:rRNA from 1 species